rnacentral:lncRNA from 1 species
UAGUGUUGGUCUCACUGAGGUCAAGGUCGAUUCAUUUUGGAGGAACUUCUUGAUGACUUUUUAAGAAUUCCUCAAAUUUUAUCGAGGAGAACUCGUGUCUCAUCAGUACUACUACUGCACUUUAAAUUUUAUCGAGGUGACCUCAUGUCCCAUCAACAAUCUUGACCAUACUGCACCUCGAAAACCAUCGAGGUGACUUGGUGCCU